rnacentral:tRNA from 1 species
AGCUUCAUGGCGCAGGGGAAGCGCGCCGGGCUCAUAACCCGGAGGACAGUGGAUCGAAACCACUUGAAGCUA